GGGCUCAUAGCUCAGCCUGGUUAGAGCGAUCGCCUCUUAAGCGAUAGGUCGAGGGUUCGAAUCCCUUUGAGCCCA
rnacentral:tRNA from 1 species